UGUAUUUAGCAUAUCAACAAACACGGAAGCCUUUCAAUCCAAUCCUUGGAGAGACUUAUGAAUUGGUUAACCAUGGUGGAAUUACAUUUCUUGCAAAACAGGUGAGUCAUCAUCCCCAAAGAGUGAUGGGCAUGCUGAGAAUGACCAUUUUGCAUAUGAUGUGACUUCAAAGU